rnacentral:piRNA from 1 species
UGAGCACUUUGGGAAGUCAACAUGGGA